UUAGGGCCCUCCUGCGUUUGGUAGCUGCGUGGAAAUAUCCCGUAUUCUUAUCUCCCAAGGUGAGCCACAGCUGUCGACUCCUCUGUUUCCAGAAAGCCUCUUCCUUCUGGUGAUUAUCUCCCUCCUGCAAACCUCUAGUCUUUCCUCAACUGCUGCCUCUGGGAUCAACUUCCAGGCAUCUAGGAUAAGUUUCCUCACUUCCUCAUUUCCUUUUAAACUUCUAUCAUACCGGAACAAACCUCUUCUCUUUUGUUUAAUAGGGUCAAAGGAGGUGACCAAAGGCCGGUGGUCAGAUCCUUCAAAUCUCAAAUAUUCACUUCUGCCCGAAGGAAAUUCCAACACCCAUUCACUGUUUGCCAUAGCCCUGUCUAAAUGACACCGUACCAAAUGAGAAUAUCUUUUUCCUCUCCAUGACAGGAAGUUUCCUGAGUGUUUUAAAUCAAAGAGGUCACAAGUAGACAUCAAUGCUCGCAAGGGCUAUUUCGAGUUUCUCCAAAGUUUUGGAUCUGGAUCCAUAUCUCUUGUCUUUUGGCCAAGUCCGGUUCUCCAUAUAGGAAGAACAAGGCAAGUCCUCCUGCAGUCGACUCUGAUGGGGGAACAAGGAAGCUUGACGUAUAUCCCAUCCAGUCCAAGUGUUGCAGAAUAAACUCCGAGGUAUUAAAGAGAUCUUUGGAUCCCCGGUUUUGCGUUGUUUCGACUUAUGGCUUCUGAUAGAUGAUGAUUCAUCCUCAAUUCGCUCUGAGUCUGCCGCUUUUCCUCUCUUUUGU